GCUACCCCUCCCGCAAGCGCAAGAGCAAGGUGAUUUGAAAGCAGCUUCAGGCACAGCUUGAGGAAACUGUGGUGUUCCCUGAAACCAAAUAAACUACUAUGAACUUCUGACCUACGAAAGAACAUGUUCUAUCCAGUUUGGAUUAAAGCUCCAUGAGAGCAAGGAUCUUGUCUGUUUUGUUCACUGCUGUUGUGUCAACUACCUAAAACACUGCCUGGCUCUUGGAAGGUAUUGGGGAGCAGUAAAUAAAAGAAGUCAAAAAAGGAAUGAGAUGGUUUAUUACAGAUUAAAUUGAAGGCAGAUUUAUAGUACAUACCAAAGAACGCCUCAUCUGCAUUAAUAUAGUCAUAAAGCAGUCAAAGCUGAU